rnacentral:lncRNA from 1 species
AUGAUAUCAUGGCAGUAUGGUUAAACUUCCAAGCAGGAACAACUACUAUAACUCAGCAAAAUAUUUUAGGGAUAUUACCUAUUUUUAUAUGUCUAUAUCUUCUUCUAGAUAAUUGCAUUUCACAUUUAGAUAUUUAGAGUGUGCUUUGUUGGUAUAUUGUGUGAUGUUAACCUACUAAUCUAAUAUAGUUUCACUUAUUUAGUGAGAUUAGUGCUUGAGCUGAGAGUAUGUAUAACUAAGGAUAUCCAGCUGUUGAGAAACACAUGUAUGCUUAGUAAAUAUACUUUUUAGAUUUGCUUAAUGUAGUUUGGAUACAGAAGAAAUGGAAUUUUCUAGUAGAAGGUAAACCUUUAACUAAGAUGCUGGAAAGAUUUUUUUUUUAAAUCUUCAAACGCAUACCAGUUAAAACAAAACACAUUUUUUUAACAAAACAUUUGUAAAACUGGGUCCUUUUCACAUUAAAACUUAGGAAUGUAGGUGGUGUUUGCAACCCUAAGUGACUGUGUAAUCAAUAUCGUCUCACAAAAUGAUGUAGUAGAAACUGCCCUUCCUGUCUCUGACCUAUGCCUUCAAAGAAGUUACUGCCACACUCUGAAGCAAAUUCUUAUACCAGUGUUACUGACUAAUGUCUGUCAGGAAAUUUUGCUAAGAAUGUUGUUUCUUAUUGCCUGACAACAAAGCAAAGAAAAGCUCUGGAUUUCAUGCCUUUGGGAUUCUAAAAAAGUAUAGUCUUCAGAAGUUUUGUUGAAACAGCUUCUAAUGUAGCGAAACACCUCAUGAGCACUGGUAUAGGCCUAACCUGCAGAUUCCACUAACACCAUAUAUACACAGGUAGCAUUCACUGCAUGAUUUACUAAAUUAAGGGACUGCUACCAAUAGCCAACACUGCAUGAAAACAACCUUUACAGGCUCACACUGAAAUUAGGAGUAUACAGUGUGGUCAGAAUUUUCAUAGUUUGUAUUUUCCAGUAUGUAUUCCCACUGGUAGCUAUGUUUAGUGGACACGAUGUGUUUUUCUUUUUCAGGGAUUUGGGCCUGCAUUAAACACUAUAUGACACAACUUACAUAAGAUAUAUAUUAAUUCUCAAAGUCAUCUGUGAUGGUUAAUUAUUGCUCUCUAAGUAUAUGACUUAGAAACAUUUAAAUUAGGCAAAGUACUUGUUAUAAUUAUGAUCUCUUUCUAAUUUUAGUUGUGUUCUCAUCCUGGUGUAAUUGAAAUACUAGCUCAACAUUCUUUACAUGGAGAAGGCAAUAUAUACAUAUAUAUUUUUCCCCAGGAUCUAAGCUGUUACCUGGCCCCUUUGUUGCUAGGCAUAGUUCUCUGUUUUUUACAACACGCAGAGAGAGAGCCUGGGUAUUCCUAGGCAGCUUUGUAGCCCAAGGGUGGUGUACCCUCAACAGAGUAAUAAAUAGCUUUCAAAAAACUUGAGUAUUAGCUAACCUCCUCCACAGUAGAAAUGAAUAGGAAGUGUAGUGAAUGUAGAUAGAAUAAGCUGGAAAUACAUAGUAGUCAUGGUCAUAUUCAAAAUACACACAUGAAAAAAAUGCCUGAAGAAAGCUCACAGUCUCUUUACUAUUGAGGAACACAGAAAGACAACCAUGUUUACAACGGUCAUUUAUAUCUAUUAUGUGCAGUAACUAUGUUUAUUAUGAUAUAUUCAAUUAUCUCAUACUCAAUAAACAUGUUCUAUAACCAUAACAUUGAAAAUAAAUUCCAGGAGCUAUUCAAUAUAUCUCUCUAUAUUUAAAAAAAUACAUGAAAAUGUGUACACCCAUACCCACACACUCAUGUGUGUGUGUGUGUGUAUGUGUAUGUGUGUGUGUGUUAUCUUUUAAAAUCCACUCUAUUAUUCAGUUAUUGUUUAUAAAGCUCAAGAGAAGAAUUUGCUCAUUUAUUCUUAGAUUUUAAAACCAUCACAAACUCUGUAUUUGGUUAUAUUAUUUUACAUAGAGAGGAAAUAGCCAUUCCACUGUCAGAAAUGUCAUUUUAAGAAUAUUGCACAAAUUAUUAUAUAUCACUGACAGGAAGCUAUAUUCUUCAAACACUAUAAUCUAUAUUUCUGAAGACAGUCUGAGGAAGCAGUCUAAUGUCUUAUGAGUUUUCCAGAUUGUUUCAAAUGACCAUGGCUCUUUAUUGCUAUAUGUGCUUGUAAGAUACUCUGAAAAGAAUGUUCCUUUGUCUGCAGUCGUAGAAGGGAGAAGCUAUGGAAUUUAUGCUUCCAUUUUCCUACACAGCAGAGUUCAUAUGUUGAACCUUAAGAAUCUUGGCUGCAAAUAUGUCACAGUACUUUGAAUCUGUUGACUAAUGUCUAUUACUUUCAUAUACUUAAUACCACUUAGGAACGGUAUACCUUUUAGUGUGUCAGGUUGAAAGAAAUUUAGGAAAGUAUCCACAGAAACCAAGUGCUUACAAAUUGGUGUAAUAUGUUUAGCUCACUGCAAAAUGAAUGAUUUCAAAUGUAACAUGACAUGGAUAACUUACCUUUUUGAAUGUUGGGUCAUGUAGUUAAGAUAUCAAAGGAACUUUGCAACUAAUCAACUAACACCACUGACUAAAAGGUCAUUUGAUGAGGAGAACAUUGUCAUCAGCAAGUAACUCAAUAAUAUAGCAUAGUUAUAAUCUUCAUAUAUUUGUAUGGAGCAGUCUUCUGGACUUGAAUAAAUAGGCAAUGGUGGCCACAAUGAAAGAGUAAGAUGUCUCAGAAACAUGGCUGGAAUUUAGCUUUGUCAUCUUGUGAAGGUAAACUGUGACCUAAUUUUGUAUUAUCUACCUCUGUAUGCAUAUUCUCUAUUGUUUAUUAGACUAGUUGUGGUUUCUCUUUCAAUACCUUGUUUUAUGUAGAACCCAGUGAGCAGUGACCCAUGUUUUUGACACCAAACCUGAUAUAUAAAACUGGAGAAUUAGUCAAUGGAUCUAGCACAUAAUAGUUCUUACAUUCUCUAAUUUUUCCCUCUUGUAUAAUGACCAUGACAUGAGGAUAGAGAAAAAUAUUCAGAAGUGUGAAAGUUUAUUUCUUUUUAAGGAAAGAAAAACACUACAUUAAAUGAGUUAAAAUCUAAUUCUCAAAUGCAGCAAUCCUUUGAAACUUGUAAAUUUCUCUAAAGAGUUCUACCAAUAAAGUAAAAGUAAACAGAAACAAAAUGCAAAGACAGAGUGGUGUUGCUGCGGACUGAAAAGUAGGUCUAAAGGUGUGCAGUGUUAAGAGGACUUGGAGAUUUUGGCCAUCACCAUUGCCAGUUUAUUCAGUUUGCCACUGGCUGAAAUGGGUGUUGUACAUACAUAGCAUAGAACAUAAACAUUGGCAAAGGUUUCUGUAUUAUUGUCUUUUAAGCAAAACAUUGGUUAUCCCUUCCUCACCCAUUCUUAUUCUGUGUACUCAUCAGAUAUUAUCUCAACUCCUCAAGCCCAGCUUCCAUAAAACAUCAUUUCUUCUUUACUUCUGAAGCAGACUUAAUACACAUAUAAGCAUGUUAAAUGAUGAAACAAAAUUCAUGCUAAGUAAGUAAAAUGCCCUUAGUGGCAAAUGAAGAACAGCUUCUGAUACUCCAUGUAGAUUAACAUAAUCUUGUUAGAGACUACUGAAAUAGUGUGCAAUAGUUCUUCAUCACACUUGAUUCAAAAAACUAACUGCUAGUGUUCUGCUUUCUUUGUUUCUUUUUUGUUCUCCCUUUCCUUUCAUUGUAAAAAAGACAUUGAUAUAUUUAUAGGACAAGAAAAAUCACUAUUGACCACACCCUGUCUGUCUUAAAAAGUAAUAAAUCUCAUGUGUUAUGUGCACAUAUGCAUAUGGUCAUUUUUUCUAAAAGAAGAUCAUUUGAGAAGGACUUGAGCAUGUGUGGGAGUAGUUUGUCUUUCUUCUGAUAUGUUGUAUAUCCGUAUCAUAUUUUCAGUCAAGUACUUCAUUGCUCUCCCCUGUUAUCCUAGUUUAAUGAUUCACUUUGACUGUCUAAAAGUAGCUGACUGACUCCAUAAUAAUUACCUAAGAAGUUUUAGGAAUGUGAAAUUUCCUUCAGUAGGUUACAGAGGUAGGGCCCAGGAAUCCGAGUUUAGGAAACCACUCUGGGUUAUAAUGCAUAUAGCCCAAUGUGGAGAUUAUGGAAGAACACGCUUACAAUCUCAAUGAGUUGAAGGUAAUACAAGGUGACUAAGAUAGCAAUAUAUUAUUUCAUUUAUAGUUAUUUUUAAUAUUUAAGCACUCGGUGCUUCUUAUCAUUGUUUCCAUCAUAAAUUUUAAUUUUAUUUUUGGUUUCAAAUGCUUAGUAUGCUUUCACAACAUGAAUCUUCAAAUUUAUUAGUGAUAGAAGUCAACACUAAUAAGCAUGAGGAAUGAAUACUGCUCCCUAUAAGAUUAUUAGGCAUAUUAGCUAUUUUCUUAGUUACUGACGAAGCUGUUCAAUACACUUCCUGACCCUCACCACUGAGCUAACAAAGUACAUUUUGGACAUAAGUAAGUAUUAAAAUGAUAACCUACCUUCAGAAUGCUACUAUGAUCUAUGUUAUAAAGAGACACAAAGCUAAUACUUAAUGCCUCAUCUCACUGUGUAUAUUACACAUUUCUCUCAAAGCAAUUUCUUAGCAAUACUUUACAACAAUCGUUUAAGCAAUAAUUUAAGCCAUGGUAAUGAUGCCAUAUAUAAUGCACAUCUGUGCAUUUUACCCAGCCUUUAGAGGAAUAGAGACAUGGUUUCCAGUAGCAAUAAUACAGAUGGUUUGAAAUUUUUAAAGUUAUUUGUUGUUUCACAGCAAAAUGAUCAGCAAGGGACCAAUUGUAUUUAAAAACUGAUCAAAUGAUACACAAAUCCAUCUCAAAACUCACUAAUUUGUAAACAUGUAACUAGUGUGUUUACAUCAGUGUAUGUCUGAUAUAUAAUUAACAACUAUUCGUAUUACUUUAAUUUCUAUUGCUCUCAAAGGCAUUUGUGUACUAUUGGUAAACUUGCUCAAAUCUUUAGAUCUUUGUAGUUUGUUACAGCAAGCAACAAAGAUGAAUAAAUGGAAGUCAAUUGUAAGUUGGAAGACCUGAUUGAGAAAGUGAACUUUGAUAAAAAUAUAUGUGAUUCUUUGGUGGCUUUAUAAGCUCUUGAAAGAUUUAAGAUAAAAGAGCAAAGAGAUUUGUAAAGGAAUAGAGAUUGUUAGAAGAAAGUGUUAAAGAACAUGCAGCUUCUAUUGUAUACACAUUUGAUUUCAUUAAUAGCAGAUAACCUUUUUGCUAUGUGUUACUUUUGUGGUUUUUGCUUGUUUUGUUGGUUUGGUCUUUUUGUUCUGUUUUAUUUGAGAAAAAAUUCCAAACCAUCCAUUUCCAAUCGUCUGAUGAGAUCGUGUCAGCAUAGCAGCAGCUGUGAGGCUCAGUAAAACUUUAACUAGAAGCUCACAGAGCUAUAAAUAGCAAGUCUCUGAAGGUGGUAGAUGGAAAGAGUCUGGGUUAUAGUGAUGAAAAAUAAAUAGAAAUGUCAGAAAAUCUGGAUUUACAAAACAAAGAGGGCCAAACAUUGAUUCUGCCUUAUGUUACAGAAAAGCCUACUGAAAUUAGCACAGGACAGAUAGUGUACAGAGGAAAUUAAAUACAACAUAUUCAUCUCUCUUUACUCAUAUUUAGCCGAACUGACACUCACUAACAAAAUGGUUUUGCACUGUGCACUUCUCCCACCCCUGAUCUAGGAAUGAUAAGUAUUUCUUAUUGUGAACUUGAAUCACAAAGUCUGGAAAACAUUUUAUGUCCUAAAAGCUUGUGCCAUAACAUUUUGAGGAUAUUUCAUAUUCCAUACUUCAUAUUUUCUAAAUUUGCACUCAACUAACAAAACAAGUACUCAGCUUCUGAAAGGUAAAUGGCCUAGGUAUAUCCAAGACUGCCCUUCUCUUGUAGGAAGCUCCAGAGAACUAGAGAUAAGAAACCAAGACCAUUGGGAGUGUUCAGAGGAGAAAUGAAGGUGUUCUCUUUGCCUUGUAACAUUGAAAGCAGCUGAAUAUUCUGCCAUUAUCACUCAGAGAUUUCUCACUUACUUGUAACUUAGUAUUUCAUGCAGAAUUCAUUUAGGGCAAAAAUUUUAGCAAGUAAGUUUCCUCCUAUUUUUAACUAGAAUCAUUAUUCUUAGAAAAAACAAUUAUACCAUGUCAGUUUACUUCUAUAUAAACUUCAAAGUUGUUACGGUUUGAAAAAGUGUUUCAUAAAAUGCAUCAAGAGCUUUAGCAACGAGAAACUAAUUCAGUGGCUUUGUCCCUCAGAUUUUAUCCUGUGGUGAUAGCAUUUAAUCAUGAAUUAAUUAUAUUUCAGUGAUUGCUAUUUUUCCAAGUUUUCUAUGUUACCAAAAUGGGUUAUAGAGUUGUUAUAAAUAAGAACUUAAGAUUGUGGCAUUGAAUCAUAUUUCCCUGAUUGAACAAUAUUAUCAUGUUUAAAAUAUUAAACUAUUUCAGAGAUUGAUAAUAAAAGUCAAAAGUAGUGUGUUCAGGCUCCUUCAAAUUAAGGCAUUGAGUAAGGUACCUUAGUGGUCUAGAUAAUGUACAUUUAGAGUCGUCUAAAGCAAUUCUGUGGAAAUUUGAAAAAAAUUCUUGAACGUUUGUGUAUAGAUAAUGAUGAGAUAGCAGUCAUAAUUAACAGGCCUAUCCUUUUUUAUUAGUUUCAGGUGUGUCAUCAUAACUUGCAAAAUUCAUUUACGUGAUUUCAUGACCUGAAAUAAUGGUUACCUCUUGCUUUUACUUUUGAUCCUUAAAACAAUUUUUUUCUGUCUGUGAAAUACAGAUUAUUAUUUGGCCAUAAAUUUUUUUCUUCUUUUUGAGUGUAUAUGAAAUAUUUAGCUGACUUCAGCAGGAGGAAAGGAAAGAGUAAGAAAAAGCUCCUCCUAUAGGGAGUACAAAGGAAAAACAUUAUUUGCUUAGAUAAAAAAUAUGUCUGUAGUCCAUCUUUGUUAACCUAAGAGAUAGCUGAAAGUAUUGAUAUGGAUAUGCUAUUGCAGAUUUUUUAAAUCACAGUAUUUAUAUUCAACAAACUGUGAUACUGAAUGAUAGGUCCACCAAAUAAAAUUCAGCAAGUCGAAGCUUUAGAAAACCAACAAGGAACUUAAUAAAACUCUUAAUUAGAAUGACUAUUUAAAGGAACAAUGACAGAAAAUAUUCAUCAUACAUAUCCACCAAAGCAGAAUUUGCUUCUGUUUGGAAAAUUUAGUACUAUGUCUUCAAUCAAUCAGUAUUUGCUAUAUGACAAAUUAAUCUGUCGCAUAGCCUUUAUGCUAAUGAGAAGCCAGGUAGGAAUUCAAAUAUCACUUGUAUCAGCUUCAGUUAUGUCUUAAAUAUGAUCGGUCUGGCAUCAUUUCUAAAUAAAAGUCUAAUGAAUGCAUUAUAUGUAUAGAGCCUAUGGAGGGCAAAUUAAUCAGGCCUUUAAAUAUGUUGGCAUUUUAAACUCCUCUAUGAUCCUCAUUCCUUUUUAACUCCAGUACUUCCAUUCUUUUAAAUUUCCCUUUAAUCUGUCUUUUUGGGCUCUAUUUCUUCAUAGCUCUUAUAAAGUAUAUGGCGAUGGUAUUUUAUUCUUUGGACUGAGGCUUUUCUUUUCACAUUCACAGGACUAAACACUGUAGAGCUGUAGAGCUGUAAGGUGAGCAGGAAAAGGUUAGAGCUUAGUAGAGAUCCUGGGAAGAGAAGUGACUUUGACUUUGGACCUUGGCUGCUAAAGGUUUUGUCAUACAAGAAAGAGAAAGUGGAUCUAUGCAAACAUCUUUGUUGUCUCCUGGGAAGUACCAGAAUCAACAUUUUAAAGCUCCUGCCCAUUGUCCCUGCAAGUCUUCAUUUAGAAAAUCCUCUUCUAGAUAAAUCUUCACCUUUUUCAUUAGAUUUGAGAAUCACACUGGUAAAGAUUGGGAUAGAAAAGCUUUUUCUGAAAUCUGCUUUUAGAAUGAUAGGUACAGUAAAUGCAAAUUGAUUUCACCUGACCUUUAGGUGUAAGGGAUACACUGCCAAACAUCUUGGAUACUGUUACAUGAGGCAAAUAGUCCUGUUAUAGAUUUUCUAGAUCGUGGAGUGUCUGACAACAUUCAACAUAGUAUUUCUAUCUACCUUACCAAAGAAGCAUUUUUAACCCAUUUUCAAGUAACUUUUUAAGCAGUUUUGAAUUCUUUGCCAAAAUUAAUGAAUUGCCAUGGUCCGAAAUAAAAAAGACCUAAUUUUGAUGUUUUAUAUUGCUAUAACAAGGGAUCAAUCAUUUAUAAAUUUCAAUCCAAAGCCAUUUAUUUUUUCAGGGAAAAUUAGAUGAUGUCUAGCAAACUAUUUGGUUUGUAAAAGAAAAUAAUUCAAAUAUCUUAAGUGUACUAAAGAAAAAGGCAAAAAUGGAAUCUUAGGAAACACACCCAAAAUUUUAGUUUUCUCCAAUUGAAGUGUUGUCUUACACAUUUAUGUCACUAUAUAAAUAUUAUACUCAACAUCCAUAGAAUACUUUUCUUUGUGUUCUCUACUGAUGUAUAAGUAUUAUUUUUUCUCUUUAAAAAGAGAAUAAAACAUUGUAUACAUGGUAUUGCUGAUCCUGGGGAUAUAAUAAGGGGCCAUGUGCAUGCUAGAUAAGUGCCCCAUCUGGAAGCUGCCUUCCCUUCUGCAACCUUUUAUUUUUCAGUUCCUAUUUCUAAUUAUAUUCUUUGGUAUACAUCAGAAGUUUUAAAUUCAGAUCACAAGAAAAGAAGUACAUAAAUUCCAAAAAAUUAACACCCCCAAACAGCAAUACCUUUCUUUGUCAUCUUCUAUUUAUUCCAUUCUUUAUUCUGACUUUGUGAGAUAGGUGGAUAGUCAACAUCUAAAUUGAAACUUAAGUGGGCACUGACUGUAUUUUCCUAUGAUUUUCCUAAUUAAGUAUAGCCAAUCUUAGGACUUAAUCAGAUGAAUAAAUGAGUAACUGUAAUUAAAAUGAAUAUUAAAAUAAGUUUUAAAUAUUCUUACCAUUUUAUUUACUUAAGAAAUAGUUUUAAAGUGAAUUUUAAAUGGGAAAAUAUAUAUAAUGCAAAGGAGAAAUUAAGCUGUGAGCCAAAGCCACUUUUUUCUCCCUGUGAAUUUUUUCUGUCUACUGAAAAUCAAUUUCUAAGAUUCCAGUGAACAAAACCUACAUGCUAGUGACCACAGACUUUCGAGCAACAGCUACUUUAUUAAGAAAUCUAGUCCUGAUGUUACAGCUGGCAGGAAGUAAAAAAUUCAGAAGGAUUUGAGGGAAAAUAGUCCAUGAAGAAAAAUGUUCCUUCCUUCCUUCCUUCCUUCCUUCCUUCCUUCCUUCCUUCCUUCCUUUCUUUUUCUUUUAUAAUUUAAGUUGAACAAAUAAUUUGUUUAACUUACAAAAGAACAAUAAAAUCCUCAUAGAAGUUUGUCUUGGAAAAUAUUAAGUAUAUAAAUGUAUAGCUUCUGACACCUAUACUACACUUUCAGUAAUCAACUGACUAACCUUUCUAAUUAUGCUUUUAAAUCAUACAAAUUAAGUGCAUUCAGAAAUACAUAUCAUUCCUCAUUCCAAAAUCAACCUAUCUGAAUCAGACUGUUUAACUGUGAGUUGCCAUUGUACAAAACCAAAGGGCCCCAAUUCCCAAGCACUGCUUUAAAUAUAAAAUUUACCCUGCUCUUUUGAGUGCAUAUGAUCAACACAGACAACACAGCACGGUUUAGGAAUGACUAGGUUCCUCAUGCCAUCAUAAAGGCAUAAUUAUGAUGUAAUAGACUUCCAUUAGUGUCCUUUGCAUGAGGUAGUUUUUACUUACACAGAUACCUGCGUUAUUUUAACAGUUUGGUCUAUUUCUUGAAAUCUGAUAAGACUAAAUUUUGGCUUGGCUUGUUGCAAAUAUUUUAUAUAUAUAUAUAUAUACAUAUA